GAUGAACGCUAGCGGCAGGCUUAAUACAUGCAAGUCGAACGGCAGCGGGUCCAGCAAUGGAUGCCGGCGAGUGGCGCACGGGUGCGUAACACGUAUGCAACCUACCUUUAACCGGGACAUAACCUCGAGAAAUCGUGGCUAAUAUUCCAUAAUAUCUUUGAAUCGCAUGGUUUGAAGAUCAAAAUUCCGAUGGUUUUAGAUGGGCAUGCGCGACAUUAGCUAGUUGGUGAGGUAAUGGCUCACCAAGGCUACGAUGUUUAGGGGGUCUGAGAGGAUGAUCCCCCACACUGGUACUGAGACACGGACCAGACUCCUACGGGUGGCAGCAGUAAGGAAUAUUGGGCAAUGGGCGCAAGCCUGACCCAGCCAUGCCGCGUGCAGGAUGACAGCCCUACGGGUUGUAAACUGCUUUUAUACGGGAAAAAACCCUCUGACGUGUCAGAGGCUGAUGGUACCGUAAGAAUAAGCAUCGGCUAACUCCGUGCCAGCCGCCGCCGUAAAAC
rnacentral:rRNA from 1 species